rnacentral:rRNA from 1 species
GACGAACGCUGGCGGCGUGCUUAACACAUGCAAGUCGAACGGUAAGGCCCUUCGGGGUACACGAGUGGCGAACGGGUGAGUAACACGUGGGUGAUCUGCCCUGCACUUCGGGAUAAGCCUGGGAAACUGGGUCUAAUACCGGAUAGGACCACUGCCUGCAUGGGUGGUGGUGGAAAGCUUUUGCGGUGUGGGAUGGGCCCGCGGCCUAUCAGCUUGUUGGUGGGGUGAUGGCCUACCAAGGCGACGACGGGUCGCCGGCCUGAGAGGGUGACCGGCCACCGUGGGACUAGAAUACGGCCCAGACUCCUCCCGGAGGCAGCGGUGGGGAAUAUUGCACAAUGGGCGCAAGCCUGAUGCAGCGACGCCGCGUGAGGGAUGACGGCCUUCGGGUUGUAAGCCUCUUUCAGCACCGACGAAGCGCAAGUGACGGUAGGUGCAGAAGAAGGACCGGCCAACUACGUGCCAGCAGCCGCCGUAA